CCUACGGGGGGCAGCAGUGGGGAAUAUUGGUCAAUGGACGAGAGUCUGAACCAGCCAAGUAGCGUGAAGGAUGACUGCCCUAUGGGUUGUAAACUUCUUUUAUAUGGGAAUAAAAUGUUCCACGUGUGGGAUUUUGUAUGUACCAUAUGAAUAAGGAUCGGCUAACUCCGUGCCAGCAGCCGCGGUAAUACGGAGGAUCCGAGCGUUAUCCGGAUUUAUUGGGUUUAAAGGGAGCGUAGGUGGAUUGUUAAGUCAGUUGUGAAAGUUUGCGGCUCAACCGUAAAAUUGCAGUUGAAACUGGCAGUCGUGAGUACAGUAGAGGUGGGCGGAAUUCGUGGUGUAGCGGUGAAAUGCUUAGAUAUCACGAAGAACUCCGAUUGCGAAGGCAGCUCACUGGACUGCAACUGACACUGAGGCUCGAAAGUGUGGGUAUCAAACAGGAUUAGAUACCCCUGUAGUC
rnacentral:rRNA from 1 species